UACGUAGGGUGCGAGCGUUAAUCGGAAUUACUGGGCGUAAAGCGUGCGCAGGCGGUUAUUUAAGUCAGGUGUGAAAGCCCUGGGCUUAACCUAGGAAUUGCGCUUGAGACUGGAUAGCUUGGAGUGCGGCAGAGGGAGGUGGAAUUCCACGUGUAGCAGUGAAAUGCGUAGAGAUGUGGAGGAACACCGAUGGCGAAGGCAGCCCCCUGGGUCAAGACUGACGCUCAUGCACGAAAGCGUGGGGAGCAAACAGG
rnacentral:rRNA from 1 species